rnacentral:rRNA from 1 species
CAGCAGCCACGGUAAGACGAACCGUGCGAACGUUAUUCGGAAUCACUGGGCUUAAAGCGCGUGUAGGCGGGCCGGCACGUCGGUCGCUGAAAUCCCCCGGCUCAACCGGGGAAGGGGCGCCGAUACGACCGGCCUGGAGGGGGGUAGGGGGCGCUGGAACUCACGGUGGAGCGGUGAAAUGCGUUGAGAUCGUGAGGAACGCCCGCGGCGAAAGCGAGCGCCUGGACCCUUUCUGACGCUGAGACGCGAAAGCCAGGGGAGCGAACGGGAUUAGAUACCCCAGUAGUCCCUGUCUCUUAUU